CGAUGAACGCGUUUGUGGGGAAAGUGGAGGUAAACCAACUGGAAGGCGUGGCGACGUUUAUCAAGAACCAAACAGAGCACAUAAAGGUCAACUCUCUGUCAGAUACUGCAUUUUUUACAAACUGAAGAUUCGUGGGGACCAUGCAAGCAAGGGAGUCUGUUGGAGCCAUUUUCUCAACAGCAUAUGCUCACUUCCCAUCUGUGGGUCACAUUUUGGUGAUUCUUGCAGUGUCUCAAACUUUUUCAUUGUUCUGUCUUUUUAAAAAAAGUUUUGUUUUAGUUCUAGGUGGACACAAUAAACUUUAUUUUAUUUUUAUGUGGUGCCGAGGAUUGAACCAGUGCCUCACUCAUGCUAGGUGAGCACUCUGCUACUGAGCCACAACUCCAGCCCCUGUUCUGUCUUUUAUAGUGAUCUGUGAUCAGUGAUUUUUGAAGUUACCAUUGUAAUUAUUUGGGGCACCAUGAGCUGCACCCAUGAAAGAUAGUAUGAUUGUAAUUGGUAAAAGUGUGUGUGUGCAUUCUGACUGCUCCACGGACCAGCUGUUCCCCUAUCUCUCUCCCUCUCUUCAGAACUCCCAAUUCCCUGAGACACAACAGUAUUGAAAUUAUGCCAGUUAAUAACCUUUCAAAGCCCUCUAAGUAUUCAAGUGAAAGGAAGAGCCGAUCUCAUUUUAAUCAAAAGCUAAAAAUGAUUAAGCUUAGUGAGGAAGGCAAGUUGAAAGCCAACAAGGCAAUCAAAAGUUAGGCCUCUUUCACCAGUUAGCCAAUUGCAAAUGCAAAGGAAAAGUUCUUGGAGGAAAUCAAAAGUGGUAUUCCAGUCGGGCAUGGUGGUGCAUGCCUGUAAUCCCAGCAGCUCAGGAGGCUGA